rnacentral:rRNA from 1 species
AACGCGAAGAACCUUACCCAGGCUUGACAUGCAGUAGACAGGUUUAGAGAUAGACCCUUCCUUCGGGACUGCUGCACAGGUGCUGCAUGGCUGUCGUCAGCUCGUGCCGUGAGGUGUUGGGUUAAGUCCCGCAACGAGCGCAACCCUUAUCGUUAGUUGCCAACAUGUAAAGAUGGGAACUCUAACGAGACUGCCUGGGUUAACCAGGAGGAAGGUGAGGAUGACGUCAAGUCCGCAUGGCCCUUAUGUCUGGGGCUACACACGUGCUACAAUGGUCGGUACAGAAGGCAGCGAAGCCGCGAGGUGGAGCAAAUCCUGUAAAGCCGAUCUCAGUUCAGAUUGUAGUCUGCAACUCGACUACAUGAAGACGGAAUUGCUAGUAAUGGCGUGUCAGCAACAACGCCGUGAAUACGUUCCCGGGCCUUGUACACACCGACGCAC